CGCGUAGGCGGCCCGGUAAGUCCGCUCUGAAAGUCCAGGGCUCAACCCUGGAAAGCGGGUGGAUACUGCCGGGCUAGAAUCCGGAAGAGGCGAGUGGAAUUCCUGGUGUAGCGGUGGAAUGCGCAGAUAUCAGGAGGAACACCAAUAGCGAAGGCAGCUCGCUGGGACGGUAUUGACGCUGAGGCGCGAAAGCGUGGGGAGCAAACA
rnacentral:rRNA from 1 species